GACGAACGCUGGCGGCGUGCCUAAUACAUGCAAGUAGGACGCAGUUGCGAACGGGUGAAUAACGCGUAGGUCACUGCCUAUUAGAGGGGGAUAACAAUUUGAAACGAUAGCUAAUACCGCAUACUAGUAGAUGGACCUGCGUUGUAUUAGCUAGUAGGUAGGGUAAUGGCCUCCCUAGGCGACGAUACAUACCCGGCCUGGGAAGGUGAUCGGCCACAAUGGGAAUGGGAACCGGGCCAGACUCCUACGGGAGGGAGCAGGAGGGAAACUUCGGCAAAGGGGGGAAACCUGAACAAGCAACGCCGCGGGAGUGAAGGAGGGUUUCGGAACGUGAAACUCUGUUGGUAAGGGAGCGGUACUUAACCAGAAAGGGACGGCUAACUACGUGCCAGCAGCCGCGGUAAUUC
rnacentral:rRNA from 1 species